ensembl:lncRNA
AAGGCAGGAAUUCACAGCAGCCCCGGUUGCUCCGCGCAAACCCAAUAACAUCCCCAGCACCGCAGGGCAGCUGUGAACAAGGGCUGCUUUCACAGAUGGGAAAGUGUAACACAAAGUGAUUCUCGGCCACAGGAAAAGGGAAAAUCGCCCAGGUAAACGUGCAAGCCGGAUUCUUCCUGAAAAGUUUAAUAAUUCUCUGCUAUUCGGGGAAAGCUUUCCGGUGUUAUGAGCAAUAAACCCCUCCUCCCCCAUCCUGACAUGUUAAAGCAAUUAGAUUGCAAAACGCCGUGGCUCUAGAAUGCAUUUAUGGCUUUUGUUAUUGAGCGGGACCUUUUUCGGUUUGUUUCUUUACCCCUGUGAUGAAUCUAAUUGAAAUCCAAAUGCAAUCGGAGGAUAAAACAAAUGGGGACAAGCUGGGUGCUCCCCCCGGGGCUGCGGCCCCACCGACGCACAUUUUUCUAAUAAUAAUAAUAAAAAAUAAAAGGCUGGGAAAUGUACAGCCAAAUUAGAAAGCCUGCGUAUGCCAAGAUGCUGGGGGAGAUGUUUGGCUGUUCCUCAUGGAGCAGCUCUGCACGUGCGAGGACUUUCCCUUCCAGCCCAGGAGAUGGCACAGGGAUGGCCGAGGAGCGCUGGUGCUGCUCCCGCUGCUCGGAACACGCAGGGAGAUGUGGGGUGAGGGGGUGGCUGUGUCCCAAAGGGUCCGGUGUGGAGCUAUCAGGAGAGGGAGCUCUGAGCACACAAAGCCUUCCGCUGCUGCUCCCUCCCUGUCUGUCCUAAUUGGGAAUUAGCACCCAUCCCCACCUCCUGCUGCUCCGGGCUGCUGGGGUGAAGAGCUCUGGCGAAAUCAUAGAAUCUUCCAAUGAAAAUCAGAGAAUGAGUUGGAAGGGGCCCUAAAAGGCCAUCUGGUCCCACUCCCCUGCAACCAACAGGGACACCCACAGCUCCAUCCGGAACUUAGAGCCCCUCCAGCCUGACCUUGUGUGUCUCCAAGGCUGGGACACCCACCACCCCUGUGGCCAGUGCCUUGCUGCCUUUAGUGUAAACAACUUUUCCCUUAUAUCCAACCUAAAUCUCCCCUCUUUUAGUUGGAAACCAUUUGCCCUUGUCCCAUUGCAACAGCCCCUGCUAAAGUGCCUGUCCCCUUCUUUCUCAUAAGCCUCCCUUUAGAUACUGAAUGUCCAGCUUGCUUGAAAUCCAAAUGAAAUCUGGUUAUUGAAAUUCACAUUAAGAGAUUGAAAUACGUAUAAAAAUAUUUUUAAAUGCACAUUAUAAAGCAAUGCUAAAGGAAAUACCGAGGACUGGAUAUCAGUCUCCAAGAUCCAACCUCCAUGCCAGGCCAGAAGGGGGCAGAAAAUGGUGAUGAGGGAUUUUCAUAAUCACGCUAAUUCCUGUCAUACCUGUCAGCUCCCCAGCCUCCUCAUUAACUUGGUCUCAUCACAUCUGUAGCUAUACCCACCUGAGGAAAUAAGUCUUGGUAGUUGAAGCCCAUCCGCCUUAAGAACAUAUAUAUGUGUGUGUGUGUAUAUACUGGGAAGAGAAAACACCACACAGACCUCCAGGGGCUUCAUUGCAGGGAGGGUGCCAAGGAAGAACAGAUCCAGCCCUGUCCCAGGCUGUCCCCAUCCCACCGUGCCCAGAGGGGCCUCCUUCCUCCUGCAAGCUGAUGUGUGAAUUAAUGGGGAUGGAUGAGAAGGAUUCGUCUCAUAAAACCGCUGGGCUUGGAAAUGAAGCCCAGCAGGUGAGGUGAUUGUGAAAAGGAGCUUAAAUUAUGUUGACCCUCCCUGCCUUAAAAUACACUUUCAGUCGCAGAGUGUUUUGUUUCUUCAACCCCUUUCUAAGCCGCAACCUGGCUUGCAUUUCUCUGCUCUGGGUUUUCCCUUUCCAGAUGAUUUGCUCAUUGUUUCCACUCCAGGAGCUGUUCUGAAGGGGAGAACGUUCCAUUUCCAAAGCAUUUCUUUCUCCCAGAGGAUAAAGCGCAGCCCCAAUCCUGCAUAAACUGGAGGUCUGCAGGUUGAACAGUGAGCACUCCUCAUCAAGAUUUAAUAAAAAUUGAAAGAGGUCACGGGGGGAGCAAAAGCAGCUGGAACCAGAAGGCUUUCCAUGCUCCCUUAAUGCUGCAAAGGACAGUGAUCUCCUCCCUGUGCUAACUGGGGGGAGCAAACAGCCCCAGGCAGGCGGUGUGGUCCUCAGCAUCUCCCACAUCCAAGGGAGCAGGAGGAGAAAGGUCCAUUUCUCACCAGUGGGUGAUGCUCCCCUCCUGCAGGUGCUGAAAUUUGGCUUCACUGGAAAGCAUAUCUUAACACUGCCCUAUGUGCAGCCCUGCACACACAGGCACAAGGGGGAGAAAUCGAUGCUUUUGAAAAAGAGAAAGGCAAGGGCUGCACAUGCAUCUGAAUUGCCCUUCUGAUGAGAAAGGGUGUAAAAAGGGAAAUGCACAGUCACUGCAAAAUAGAGAUUUCUAGAGGCUCCGGGGGAGAGAGUCACCACCAGCAUUUGUCUCCAACAUCAAAAAGACCUCCGUCAGCACAGGAGAGCCCAACCACUGCCCUUGGCUGCUGCUGGAGGUGCAGGAUUUGGUGCAGGAGCCCAGCACUGGGGCUUCCAUGGCCAUUGGUAGCAAUGGGGCAGCAGCCCCCUCCCUGAGUCUCCUACAGAUUUAGCGUAAGAUGUCGUCAAAAUGCAAAGCAAACAGGAUUAUUUGGAGGAACAGAAUGAAGCAUUUAUUUCCCCCCUCUGCCAGCUGGCUUCAUAUGGUAAUCUGAAACAUUACUUGUAAUGUUAUGAGAUCCAAAGUGAUUUUCACGUUGACGAUGUCCCUUUCAAAUGACUUUCAAGAAUCCUUUUAAAGUCGAUGUCAGGAUGUUAAUACCGCCUGCAGAGUUCAGCAUGUAUCAGUGUCUGUGUUCUGCACAGCUGUACAAAACCCCCUCCAUCUGGACUUUAAAUAUUUAACUUUGAACAAGCAAAACAGCAAAACCCCAAUCAUUACCCUUGCAGCAGAGAUCUAUGAAAUUAAAGAGCGCUCAUGUUAAAUUACUUCCAUCCAGUAUGUACGACACAUUCGAUUUGUUACACUUUGGGAAAUGGCAAUAUUGCUUCUGCUAUUACCAGGAAGAAAUAUAAAAAUCCCUAAUAAAAGAGCAUGCCCAUGACAGAUCAGCUUCUUGUGGCGUUCCCCUUUGAAGUGGCGCUGGCUCAGUGCAGGCGGUGGCAGUGCAGCUCUCCACAUUGCUGGACCAUGGCUGCUAACAAAGACAGCCAGAGUCGAUGCCAACAUUUGACUCAAUGCCCCGUUGGGACGUGGACCGUAGAUAGAAAGUCAUCCUCCAACAUAUUCCAUCUGCAACAGCCAUAUAUCUGGUCUUCAGAUCCUCUAGCUAAUAGGUUGUCCCUACUUGGAUAGCCAUCUGCAUCUUGUUUUGCAUGGGUUAUCCGAGGAUACGAAGCAGGAGGAUGUAUCCCAAGUGCUGGUAGCAUCAAAGACGAGAGAGUUAUCUGAGGCACGAGUUGUGAGGGUGAAGUAUGAUUGGUUUAAAUCAGACGUGCAAAGUUGUCAAGACAUGUGGUGAGCCCCUGUGAAGCCUUGCCUCCUCCUCAUCCUCCUACGUCCCAGCGCCCACAGCUCCUGCGCUGAUGGAAAACGGCUCAAGUAGCUGGGAACGCAGCAGCAUGAAGGAAGGGAUAGGACGAGUUUCUGGGAGUGUGGAGAAGAAACUGAGGAGGAGCUGAUUUCUCUUGGCAUCUUCCACGGGCUGACCUUCGUCUUCCAUGGAGAGAAGAUACAGAUUUUUUUUAUUAGCAACUUGCACAUUCCUUUUGAGAUGUAGACAGAGAGGAGGACCAAGCAUGCAAUGGAUGGAUGGAUGGACGGAUGUAAGCAGACACAGGACAUCUCUUAUCAAUUCCCCUUUAUCUCCAGUUCUUUUUGCCCCUUCAUUUCUCACUUCCUUUAAUCCCAACAACUGAAGUGGAAGCGUUGUUUAAGACUCAAGUUUUCUAAUCAAAUAAUUUAAAUGUAGAAGUUGACACAAUAGAUGAAGAGCCAUGAGUCCUACCACCAUUCUAUUAUGUAUGAUUCUCUUCUGAGCAAAUAUGUAAUCACGGCCUUAAGUUAUAAUAAUUAUGUAAUAUUUCUUGAUAGGAGCAAUUGGAAUCCAUUGUGGAGGGAAGUAAUUACAGCUUACUUU